UACGGGGGGGGCAAGCGUUGUUCGGAAUUACUGGGCGUAAAGGGCUCGUAGGCGGCCAACUAAGUCGGAUGUGAAAUCCCCAAGCUUAACUUGGGAACUGCAUCCGAUACUGGAUGGCUUGAAUCCGGGAGAGGGAUGCAGAAUUCCAGGUGUAGCGGUGAAAUGCGUAGAUAUCGUGAGGAACACCAGAGGCGAAGGCGGCUACCUGGACAAUUGCUGACGCUCAGGCACGAAAGCGUGGGGAGCAAAAGGG
rnacentral:rRNA from 1 species